GACGGAGGAUGCAAGCGUUAUCCGGAAUGAUUGGGCGUAAAGCGUCCGCAGGCGGCAGUUCAAGUCUGCUGUCAAAGACCGGGGCUUAACUUCGGAAAGGCAGUGGAAACUGAACAGCUAGAGUAUGGUAGGGGCAGAGGGAAUUCCUGGUGUAGCGGUGAAAUGCGUAGAGAUCAGGAAGAACAUCGGUGGCGAAGGCGCUCUGCUGGACCAUAACUGACACUCAGGGACGAAAGCGAGGGGAGCGAAUGGG
rnacentral:rRNA from 1 species